UUUUGAUCACCCCUCGGAUCUUAUCAUUUUCAAAGGUUCUACAAAAAAGAAUAGACGGCUCAACUGAUUUCUAUCGAACUUGGGAAGAAUAUAAAGUUGGAUUUGGAGAUCCUAGGAACAAUUACUGGAUUGGAAAUGAUGCAAUCCAUGCUUUAACCAGAUAUCAAGUUCAGAAACUGCGAGUGAAUCUCCAGAGAUUUAAUGGGGACACAGCGUAUGCUGAAUAUUCCACGUUUUAUAUCGGAAACGAGGCUUAUAAAUACCGAUUGACACUCUCCGGGUACACAGGAACUGCAGGUGAUAGUUUGUCAGACCUAAAUGGCAGGAACUUUUCAACAAAAGACCAGGAUAAUGACAAUAACAAUAACUGUGCUAUAGAUGGUCGUGGAGCCUGGUGGUACGACGGUUGUGCCAACUCAAACCUAAACGGGUUGUAUUCCCUGUCUUCUAAGUAUAGUUAUAGAAACCUACACUGGGCACACUGGGUACUUGAAGCGCUUCAAAAGACUGUGAUGAUGAUCAGGAAUAAAUAACUGAGAUAAAAAAAACACCAUCUGUAAUAUUUUAUAGAAUAAUCAUAAAUAUUAAUGUGAGUUUGUCUUGUUAAUAUAUACGUACUUGUAUGAUUAAGUCAGA